GCAAGUCGUACGAGAGUUUUUAACUCAAGUGGCGGACGGGUGAGUAACACGUAAGAAUUUGCCUUUAGGAGGGGGACAACAACUGGAAACGGUUGCUAAUACCCCAUAUGCUUUCGAGUGAAAUGGUUUUUCCGCCUAAAGAGAAGCUUGCGGCUGAUUAGCUUGUUGGUAAGGUAAUGGCUUACCAAGGCGACGAUCAGUAUCUGGUUUGAGAGGACGAUCAGACACACUGGAACUGAGACACGGUCCAGACUCCUACGGGAGGCAGCAGUGGGGAAUUUUCCGCAAUGGGCGAAAGCCUGACGGAGCAAUACCGCGUGAGGGAUGAAUGCCUAUGGGUUGUAAACCUCUUUUUUCAGGGAGGAAUCAAUGACGUGUACCUGAAG
rnacentral:rRNA from 1 species